rnacentral:rRNA from 1 species
UACGUAGGGCGCAAGCGUUAUCCGGAAUUAUUGGGCGUAAAGAGCUCGUAGGCGGUUUGUUGCGUCGGCUGUGAAAUUCCGAGGCUCAACCUCGGGUCUGCAGUCGAUACGAGCAAACUAGAGUGUUGCAGGGGAGACUGGAAUUCCUGGUGUAGCGGUGAAAUGCGCAGAUAUCAGGAGGAACACCGGUGGCGAAGGCGGGUCUCUGGGCAACAACUGACGCUGAGGAGCGAAAGCGUGGGGAGCGAACAGG